rnacentral:rRNA from 1 species
CCUACGGGGGGCAGCAGUGGGGAAUAUUGGACAAUGGGGGGAACCCUGAUCCAGCCAUGCCGCGUGUGUGAAGAAGGCCCUCAGGUUGUAAAGCACUUUCAGUGAGGAAGAACGCCUGGUGGUUAAUACCCAUCAGGAAAGACAUCACUCACAGAAGAAGCACCGGCUAACUCCGUGCCAGCAGCCGCGGUAAUACGGAGGGUGCGAGCGUUAAUCGGAAUUACUGGGCGUAAAGCGCGCGUAGGUGGCUUGAUAAGCCGGUUGUGAAAGCCCCGGGCUCAACCUGGGAACGGCAUCCGGAACUGUCAAGCUAGAGUGCAGGAGAGGAAGGUAGAAUUCCCGGUGUAGCGGUGAAAUGCGUAGAGAUCGGGAGGAAUACCAGUGGCGAAGGCGGCCUUCUGGACUGACACUGACACUGAGGUGCGAAAGCGUGGGUAGCAAACAGGAUUAGAUACCCGAGUAGUC